rnacentral:rRNA from 1 species
UACGUAGGUGGCAAGCGUUAAUCGGAAUUACUGGGCGUAAAGCGUGCGCAGGCGGUUCGGAAAGAGAGGUGUGAAAUCCCAGGGCUUAACCUUGGAACUGCACUUUUAACUACCGGGCUAGAGUACGUCAGAGGGGGGUAGAAUUCCACGUGUAGCAGUGAAAUGCGUAGAGAUGUGGAGGAAUACCGAUGGCGAAGGCAGCCCCCUGGGAUGAUACUGACGCUCAUGCACGAAAGCGUGGGGAGCAAACAGG